rnacentral:rRNA from 1 species
UACGGAAGGCAGCAGUGGGGAAUAUUGCACAAUGGGCGAAAGCCUGAUGCAGCUAUGCCGCGUGUAUGAAGAAGGCCUUAGGGUUGUAAAGUACUUUCAUCGGGGAGGAAAAACAAAACUAAUAAUUUUAUUUCUUGACGUUACCCGAAAAAGAAGCACCGGCUAACUCCGUGCCAGCAGCCGCGGUAAUACGGAGGGUGCUAGCGUUAAUCAGAAUUACUGGGCGUAAAGAGCACGUAGGUGGUUUUUUUAAAGUCAGAUGUGAAAUCCCUGGGCUUAACCUGGAACUGCAUUUUGAAACUGAAAUACUAGAGUAUCGUAGAGGGAGGUAGAAUUCUAGGUGUAGCGGUGAAAUGCGUAGAUAUCUGGAGGAAUACCUGUGGCGAAAGCGGCCUCCUAAACGAAUACUGACACUGAGGUGCGAAAGCGUGGGGAGC